rnacentral:rRNA from 1 species
GAUGAACGCUGGCGGCGUGCUUAACACAUGCAAGUCGAGCGAGAAGUUUUGAAAAGAUUCUUCGGAUGAAAUUUAAAAUGGAAAGCGGCGGACGGGUGAGUAACGCGUAGGCAACCUGCCCCAUACAAAGGGAUAGCAUUUGGAAACGAAUAUUAAUACCUUAUGAAACUUAACUAGUGCAUGCUAGGUAGGUCAAAGAUUUAUCGGUAUGGGAUGGGCCUGCGUCUGAUUAGCUAGUUGGUGAGGUAACGGCUCACCAAGGCGACGAUCAGUAGCCGACCUGAGAGGGUGAACGGCCACAUUGGAACUGAGACACGGUCCAAACUCCUAUGGGAGGCAGCAGUGGGGAAUAUUGCACAAUGGGGGAAACCCUGAUGCAGCAACGCCGCGUGAACGAUGAAGGCCUUUGGGUCGUAAAGUUCUGUUCUAGGUGAUGAAAACUGACAGUAACCUAGGAGAAAGCCCCGGCUAA